rnacentral:tRNA from 1 species
GGCUCUAUAGCUCAGUUGGUUAGAGCGUCUGCCUGAAAAGCAGAAGGUCGAGGGUUCGACUCCCCCUGGAGCCU